rnacentral:rRNA from 1 species
GAAACGACUGCUAAGACUGGAUAGGAAGAUAAAAGGCAUCUUGUAUCUUUUAAAAGACCUAGUUAAUAGGUAUGCUUUAGGAGGGGCUUGCGCCAUAUUAGUUAGUUGGUAGGGUAAUGGCCUACCAAGACGAUGAUGUGUAGCUGGACUGAGAGGUUGAACAGCCACAUUGGGACUGAGACACGGCCCAAACUCCUACGGGAGGCAGCAGUAGGGAAUUUUCGGCAAUGGAGGAAACUCUGACCGAGCAACGCCGCGUGAAUGACGAAGUACUUCGGUAUGUAAAGUUCUUUUAUCGAGGAAGAAAAGCAAAUGGCGAACCAUUUGUUUGCCGGUACUUGAUGAAUAAGCCCCGGCUAAUUAUGUGCCAGCAGCCGCGGUAAGACAUAAGGGGCAAGUGUUAUCCGGAAUUAUUGGGCGUAAAGGGUGCGUAGGCGGUCUAGUAAGUCAGUGGUGUAAUGUCAACGCCUAACGUUGUCCGGCUAUUGAAACUGCUAAACUUGAGUUAGAUAGAGGCGAGUGGAAUUCCAUGUGUAGCGGUAAAAUGCGUAAAUAUAUGGAGGAACACCAGAGGCGUAGGCGGCUCGCUGGGUCUUAACUGACGCUGAGGCACGAAAGCGUGGGGAGCAAACAGGAUUAGAUACCCUGGUAGUCCACGCCGUAAACGAUGAGUACUAAGUGUCGGGUUAAACCGGUACUGAAGUUAACACAUUAAGUACUCCGCCUGAGUAGUACGUACGCAAGUAUGAAACUUAAAGGAAUUGACGGGACUCCGCACAAGCGGUGGAUCAUGUUGUUUAAUUCGAAGAUACCCGAAAAACCUUACCAGGUCUUGACAUGUUUUUGCAAAAUGAUAGUAAUAUCGUGGAGGUUACCAGAAACACAGGUGGUGCAUGGUUGUCGUCAGCUCGUGUCGUGAGAUGUUAGGUUAAGUCCUAAAACGAGCGAAACCCUUAUCGUUAGUUGCCAGCACGUUAUGGUGGGGACUUUAACGAGACUGCCAAUGAUAAAUUGGAGGAAGGUGAGGAUCACGUCAAAUCAGCAUGCCCCUUAUGACCUGGGCUACAAACGUGAUACAAUGGCUGUUACAAAGGGUAGCUGAAACGCAAGUUCUUGGCCAAUCCCCAAAAACAGUCCCAGUCCGGAUUGAAGUCUGCAACUCGACUUCAUGAAGUUGGAAUCGCUAGUAAUCGCGAAUCAGCAUGUCGCGGUGAAUACGUUCUCGGGGUUUGUACACACCGCCCGUCA